CAAGCUUGUACAUGCCACAGUGAAUAUCUUUUCUGCUUUCCAGUUACAGAAGCUUGCAGUAUAACCUGGACUGAAAAUUUAAAGUAGGAAUGAGUUCCCUAGAAGAAAACAAAGUAACUUCUGGCAUCUCACUGCAUGGUCAACUUAGCAAAAUGGAAUCUAGAAUCUUCCAACUUCAUGAAUUUCUGACGAUUAGGGGUCCAAUGAAGUAUGUAUUAGCUGCAGGAUAUCAAGUUGUCUAAAAAAUAUACUUCUUUGCUGUAAACUAUGCCAACAAGGAGUCAAAAUGACAAAGUAGAAAUAAAUGUAAAUUAGCUGUCUCAACAAAGCUCCCUACAAAAAUAUAAAAAUGUACCACAUCAAAUUCUGAUCAAUAAAUCCAAAAGGAAAAAAGUCA